UCAGGAUGUAGGAUGAAAAUAAAGAAAAAAAGAAGAAGUUUUUUUUUUCAAAAAGUCAAAAUGAAGUCUCUUUGGCUGCUUCUAUAUGUGCCUAAUGCAUGAGUCUGUGGGACUAAGCCUCCAAUGUUUUGGCAGCUUGCUUGUGAAUCAGUCCCACUCAAUGCAAAGGUAUUUGCUUCGGAAUAUAUGUAUAGGGCUGUGUUAUUAGGCAGCAAUUCUAGAAACACUUACUUGGGAGAAGGUAUUCGUGAGUUCCACAUACCCCUACAUGAUCUCCAUGCAUGUUUAUUAUUCAUUCAUUUAGCAAGAUAUAUAAACUGCUCAAAGGGCUUUAAGUGGUGUCCAUAAGGGAAUUAUUAUUGACUGAAGGUGAAAAAUAAGAGUGUGUGUCACACUUGUCUCGCUUCUUGUUCCCUCCUCUCUUUUAAGAUACAACAUCCUGCCAUGAAGAUCUUGUCUAUUCUUUCUGUGGUUUUCAUCCUGUCAUUUCUGGUUGCUCCAGGUAAGUUGUAUUUAAACUUGCAAAGGGAUUCUUUUGUGGCAAGGCAGGUGACUCCACAAUGAACUGAAGAGAUUUGAGGUUCCUACUGUUCUUCCCACCUGGAAACUAUUUUUAAACUGACCUCUAACACCUCUGAAAAAUCAGGAAAAUUCUGCAUGGAUCCAUGACCUUUUGCACCUUGCCCUGGUGAAUAUUCCAAAUAUUAUGUAGAUUAAAUUGCUUGUGAGAUGACAGCAUAGUUAAAUUUAGCAGUUAACAAAUAGAGUAUUUUUCUCUCUGUCUGUCUGUUUUUUUAAGUAGUCAGAGUGAGAGUGAGAAUGAGAGUGAGAGAAGGAGAGACCAGUAGUCCAGAACUCCAAGAUCUGGGGUGAAAUUUGUAAGUAUCCCUAAUUCUGACCAACUCUUUCUUUCUAUACAGGAUUCACACACAUAGGAAUUACCAGUCGCGAACAAUGUGAAUAUUUUUAAGGCAAAUGCCUUCUAUUCCAAUGUGAAGAAAACUGGCGAAAAGUUGGGAAAUGUGCUGCAGAUGUGUAUUGUUGCAGUCAAGAGUAAGUGCAAAAAAUCAAGAUUCCCAGUUAUUAAUGCAGCUUUGUUUACUCCACUAGCAACUUGGGGGCCAUAGACUCCCCAUUUCUGGCUCACACUAAAAGAUGUUUGAUCUUGAGAUAUAAAUAGAUGCUGCAUGUACCCAGUGACUGACUCUGCCAGGAAUGGAGAGAAUGGUGUUUGCCUUGUCUUAAGCAGCUAUUCUGUAGACCAGAGGGAACUUCGCCUCCCAGCAUUACUGACCUCACUCAUUUUGGUCCCCAUGUUCUUCUUCCCACAGCCCUAGUAUUCCAGAAAUGAAAGAAGAAAGCCUGAUUUGCCAGCAAGAUCCGCCAGUGAAUGAAUGCACUGUUGUUGCCCUUGCGGCUGCUAAGCCCAUCACUUCCACCGAAUAUGACCCAAACACUUCAGCAGUUCAGCUUUCCUUAUUUUCUUCUCCAUGUGUUGUGUGAAUUUUAGUAAUAAAAAUGGAUGCAAC